AGCGAACGCUGGCGGCAGGCUUAACACAUGCAAGUCGAGCGGGCAUCCUUGUGGUGUCAGCGGCAGACGGGUGAGUAACGCGUGGGAACGUGCCCUUCGGUUCGGAAUAACUCAGGGAAACUUGAGCUAAUACCGGAUACGUGCGAGAGCAGAAAGGUUUAUCUGCCGAAGGAUCGGCCCGCGUCUGAUUAGCUAGUUGGUGAGGUUACGGCUCACCAAGGCGACGAUCAGUAGCUGGUCUGAGAGGAUAAUCAGCCACACUGGGACUGAGACACGGCCCAGACUCCUACGGGAGGCAGCAGUGGGGAAUAUUGGACAAUGGGGGCAACCCUGAUCCAGCCAUGCCGCGUGAGUGAUGACGGCCUUAGGGUUGUAAAGCUCUUUUCUCCGGGACGAUAAUGACGGUACCGGAGGAAUAAGCCCCGGCUAACUUCGUG
rnacentral:rRNA from 1 species